ACACACACACACACACACACACGUGUACGUACGUACAAACAUACGUAUGUGUUGUGUGUGUGUGUGUAUGUAUAUGU